GCGUGGGCCGGCAGCGGCUGGUGGCGGAGGGGGCCCGUGGGCCGGUAACAGCGGCCGGGGCGCCACAGCCAGAUACAGACUAACACGGCUGCUACUCUGAAACUUAACUUGUCCUUGGAUCCGCAGUGAUACAAUCUAAUCAAAGGGAUGGUGAGAGGGCAACAGAACAAAACAUAAAGAAACUGGAUGGCUUCUGCAGUGAGUGUGAACUUGGAUAAAGACGACACAUUGGAUGGAAUACCACCUGUGAAAAAGCCCAGAAAACUGUUGCCAAGCCUUAAAACCAAAAAGCCCCAGGAACUUGUUCUGGUAAUUGGGACAGGGAUCAGUGCAGCAGUAGCUCCCCAAGUCCCAGCACUGAAGUCAUGGAAAGGGUUAAUCCAGGCCCUACUGGAUGCUGCUAUUGACUUUGAUCUUCUUGAAGAGGAGGAGAGCAGAAAGUUUCAGAAAGGUCUCCAAGAAGAUAAGAACCUUGUUCAUGUUGCCCAUGAUCUUAUCCAGAAACUAUCUCCGCGCACUAGCAAUGUCCGCUCCACGUUUUUCAAAGACUGUUUAUACGAGGUGUUUGAUGACCUGGAGUCUAAAAUGGAAGAUUCUGGGAAACAGCUGCUUCAGUCUGUGCUUCGCUUAAUGGAAAAUGGAGCACUUGUAUUAACCACAAACUUUGAUAACCUGCUGGAACUGUAUGCAGCAGACCAAGGGAAACAGCUUGAAUCUCUUGAUCUUACUGAUGAGAAAAAGGUGCUGGAGUGGGCGCAAGAAAAAAGGAAGCUCAGUGUCUUGCAUAUCCAUGGAGUUUACACAAACCCUAGUGGAAUAGUGCUUCAUCCAGCUGGGUAUCAGAAUGUGCUGCGGAACACAGAGGUUAUGGGAGAGAUCCAGAAGCUGUAUGAGAAUAAAUCAUUCUUGUUCCUGGGCUGUGGCAGGACUGUCGAUGACACCACGUUUCAGGCCCUUUUCCUAGAAGCUGUGAAGCGCAAGUCAGACCUGGAACACUUCAUGCUUGUGCAGAGGGGAGACGUGGAUGAGUUUAAGAAGCUCCGUGAAAACAUGCUGGAUAAAGGGAUUAAAGUAAUUUCAUAUGGAAAUGAAUAUGCAGACUUACCUGACUACUUUGAGAGGCUAACAAGUGAGAUCUCCAUGCAGGAUAGAACAGGUCUGCCUAGAGAAGGACAGCUAAACAGCUCUUCUUCAGCCCACACUGAAAUCAAAGGUAUGGAACUUACUCUUGAAACUCAAGAGAUAUCAUGGCAAAACUGAUAAUCCAUUCGCCUAACGUGUGGGGGACCUCUGGAGGCAUAUGUCCAGAGAGGGUGCAGCACCUGAGCAUCUGCCCUUGCAGUUCAACUGACUGUGCUAGUGGUUAAUCUGAGUUAAAGACUCUGGCACCUACUGCAUAGGCCUGUGAAUCUGUCAGAAGAAUCUCACCUUUUCAAUAGCUAGUUCUUGAGCAGCUGUGAUCCUGCCAUUCUAAAACCAGAAAUGAGAGAACCAGAAGCUAGAAACUACCAGACUUCAUGGAGUCCCAGUUGGAAGGUCCUGGCUGGUGAAGACUGCUUGUAGUUUACACAGCAGCUGUGAUUUCCUCUCUCUCAAGGUUGCAGAAUCUGCAAGGAGAGUUUCUCUCCCUCUGAACAGCAGCAGCCUUGGCCAUUUCAGACCUUGUACUUCUGUAUUCUCGUUUCAUUUCACUGAAAUGUACAGCAGUUUUUAUUACUUGAAGCUCUAGUUUUCUUGUCCUUUCUUUAUACUAUACAGUAUUUUGUAUGUGGAAGGUGUAUUAAAAGCCUGCUUUAC